GACGAACGCUGGCGGCGUGCUUAACACAUGCAAGUCGAACGGAAAGGCCCCUUUGGGGGUACUCGAGUGGCGAACGGGUGAGUAACACGUGAGUAACCUGCCCUUGACUUCGGGAUAACUUCAGGAAACUGGGGCUAAUACCGGAUAGGAAUCCUUGCUGCAUGGUGGGGGUUGGAAAGCUUCGGCGGUUUUGGAUGGACUCGCGGCUUAUCAGCUUGUUGGUGGGGUAGUGGCUUACCAAGGCUUUGACGGGUAGCCGGCCUGAGAGGGCGACCGGCCACAUUGGGACUGGGAUACGGCCCAGACUCCUACGGGAGGCAGCAGUGGGGAAUAUUGCACAAUGGGCGGAAGCCUGAUGCAGCAACGCCGCGUGCGGGAUGACGGCCUUCGGGUUGUAAACCGCUUUCAGCAGGGGCGAAGCUUGUGGUGACGGUACCUGCAGAAGAAGCACCGGCUAACUACGUG
rnacentral:rRNA from 1 species